UUUCGGUAGGUGACCUUGCGGAAGGAUCAUUA
rnacentral:rRNA from 1 species